rnacentral:rRNA from 1 species
CCAGACUCCUACGGGAGGCAGCAGUGGGGAAUAUUGCACAAUGGGGGAAACCCUGAUGCAGCGACGCCGCGUGGGCGAGGAAGUACCUCGGUAUGUAAAGCCCUGUCAGCAGGGAAGAAACAGGACAGUACCUGACUAAGAAGCCCCGGCUAACUACGUGCCAGCAGCCGCGGUAAUACGUAGGGGGCAAGCGUUAUCCGGAUUCACUGGGCGUAAAGGGAGCGCAGGCGGCAUGGCAAGUCUGAUGUGAAAACCCGGGGCCCAACCCCGGGAGUGCAUUGGAAACUGCCAGGCUGGAGUGUCGGAGGGGCAGGCGGAAUUCCUGGUGUAGCGGUGAAAUGCGUAGAUAUCAGGAGGAACACCGGUGGCGAAGGCGGCCUGCUGGGCUUUUACUGACGCUGAGGCUCGAAAGUGUGGGGAGCAAACAGGAUUAGAUACCCGGGUAC